rnacentral:lncRNA from 1 species
UCCAUGACAAAGCCUGCAACCGAAGUUAAGAAGGGGAGCAAUCAGGAUGAGGAAGACAAGCUGUACGAGACUACUGGCUACAGGGCUGAGUAAUGCAACGUCAGAUGGAUAAAGUGUGAACGAUGACACACAGCUACCUCAGGUACUGGGAGAGAGCUUGAAGCGUGCAGAUUUGUUAAGCACCCAGUCCUUCCUGAACAGUACAGUGAUGACUCCUGUCAGCUUGAGAAAACUUGGACUAGUUCUAGAAGACUUGGGUAAGAGGAGGACUUGGCGUCAUAAGCUGGUUGCCUGGAUAGAGGAAGACACCCACCAUGACUGUCUUUCUCAUAUUCCAUGAUGUGCACCUGCUAACACACAACAGGAAGCAGGGCUCUGGUUCCCAGACACAGACACGAAGAACCAGCAGUAUGCAAUAAGCCAGGAACUGGAUGCACAAACUCAAAGCGUCAGGAUUCCCUUAGUGGAGUGAUCUGAUCUACUGUGGGUAAGUGAUUGCAUCUCCCCCUC